CCCUCAGGGCGGGGCGCUUGAAGAGAGACCCAGGGAGGCCAGGUUCGCCGCCGCCGCCGCCGCCACCUCCACGCUGAGCACCAGGUGAGCGCCCGACAGCAACAGAAACUGAGCGGCUGCAGGAACGAAGGUGACGGCCUACGUUUAGUCCAGGAAGAAACUGCUUCUGAUGAGAGGUAAGUGAGCUGUCGGGGCAGCAGUGAAGUCGCCUCUUGGGGGGACACCCGCAUUGCACUUGGGAGCACCUGGUUCAAGUCCUGGCUCCUCCACUCCUGACCAACUUCCUGCUAAGGUGCACCCAGGAAGGCUGCUGCUGGGCUCCUGCUGUCCCCCUGGGAAACUCGGAAUGAGCUCCAGAUUCCUGGCGUCCAGCUGGCCCAGCCCUGGCUGUUGCAGGCAGUUGGGAAGUGAACCAGCAGAUGGACAAUCUCGCUCUGUCCCUCUGCCUUGCACAUGAAAUGAAAAUAUUGUUUAAAGUGACUUUCCAACCCGGUGCUCCGAGCCCUUGUCAGCUCUGCUUCAGGGGGAAGAGCCGGGACGACGAGGGGAUUUCAAAAAGUCCAGGUGGAGUUGAAAGAUAGUGUGGGGCCAGCAUGGUGGUGUGAUGAGUUAAAGCCACCGCCUGCGAUUCCAGCAUCCCGCAUGUGUGCCAGUUAAAGUCCUGGCUGCUCCACUUCCAUUCCAGCUCCCUGCUACUGCACCUGGGAAAGCAGCAGAGGAUGGCCCCAGUGCUUGGGCCGCUGCCGUCCGUGUGGGAGACCCGGAUGGAGUUCCUGGCCCCUGGCCUGGCCCAGCUUGACUGGUGAGGGAUUUGAGGAGGAACCAGCAGACAGGAGAUCUUUGUCUCUCCAUCUUCCUCUCUCUCUAUUGCUCACCUUUCAAAUAAACCAAUCUUUUUGAAAAAUACAUUGAAGUGUAAGGACAGGUGUUUGGUCUCGUGGUUAAGAUGUCUACCUCCCAUAUUCAGGUCUUGGUCCAAGUCCUGUUUCCAGCUCCUGGUUCUGUUAGCGGAGAUGAGUUGAACAGAGGUUCUCAUCUAUGCACAAGAAAGAAUCCACGCACGAGACAGAGCGGUGGUCAGCAAGGUUCGAUGGGGUAGGGCAUCCAUCAGAAUGGAUGGACACCUCCGGCCGGAAUCUGAGAGCAAGCGCCCAGCCAUCCAGCUGGGAGAGCAAGACAGGCCAGGAGUUUUAUCCCAACCACACGUUGUUGAGGGCUGAAGAAAAAACAUGACAGGCACAAGUAUCUUUAAAGUACAGAAAGGGACCAGAAAUAAUCUACUGGGUGUGUGAGUCCACCGUGUUGCUAUAAAGAAAUACUGGAUGAACUCCAUGGGCAGACUUUCAAGGUCGCUGGGACACAGAUAGUUAACUUCCCGCGUGGCACACGGAGCCCAGUGAAGAAGGACCCUGAGCGUGUCAAGUGGCCGAAGAUUCCGUGGGCUCUGACCCUGAGGGCCACCUGCCUGGCCGAUGAGGGCGCGUGUCGUAAAUUGUUAACUUCCAUAAACACCCAUUGAGGCGCCAUCCCGCCUGGUCAGGCCCACCUUACCACUGUGAACGGGGGUCUGCAUGGCUGCGUGUCCCCCUCCCAACGAACAGCAUAGGUAGGCUGCUGCCCACCGCCUGGUGGGCUGAGUCUCUCGGACUCCUGACUGCUGUCUGACCAUGCUUCUACCCUCCCCCCUUUCCUACUAUCCUGGUUUCAGUAAAACGCUCCUGCCUCAACCCGUUACCUCUUCGCCUUACUGGGGCAUAAAGGCCAGAGAACCUAGCACUCUGUGCAAGCUCCGGCUGCUGCACUUCAGAUCCAGCUCCCUACUGAUGCGCCUGGGCAGGCAGCAAAGAAUGGCUCAAUGCUUGGGCCCCUGCUCCCUGUGCCACCCACGUGGGAGACCCAGAUGGAGUUCCAGGCUCCUGGCUUCAGCCUGGCCCAGCCCCAGCCAUUGUGGCCAUUUAGGGAGUGAAUCAGAGGAUGGAAGAUCUUUCUCUCUCUCUCUAAUUUUGUCUUUCAAAUAAAUAAAUCUUAAGUAAAAGAAUCAGGAGAGAGAAAGAUAAUGUCAAAUCGCCAGGCAGGCAGGCUUUAGCUGGCGUGAUAAGAAGUCCAGUUGCUACCGUCUGCCCAUUGCAUGGUGGACCUGAGAGCAAAGUGUUGAUGCACAGGAAGCGAGUUAAUUCAGCUUCAGCAAACCCUGACGGUGGGGCGGUGUCCGAAAGAAACCAUCUUCCCCGCGAAGAGACAGGCAAAGGGGAGGGGCGUGGGGUCCAACGCCGUGAUUCGCCGCAGCCCUGAAACUCUGGCCUUGGGUAAUCGACAGGAGUCAGGGUCUGCUCCAGCCGCUCCUUACUGAGACGUCAGUAGGCCAGGCUCACCUGCUCACCUCCUGGGGGCUGGGGCAGGUUACCUGCCUCUGUGGAAACCUCAGCCUGUGGGAUCGCGGGAAUGACCGAGGCCACACGGUCUCAGCCUGCGCCCCGGGCGCUCUGCUUCCUGUUCUGUCUCCCCUGUUCUCGGCCCCAUCCGGCCUAGGAAGCCACCCCCUCUGUUAGGCUCAUCAGCACUGGGUCAGUUUUAUGGGGUGAGGCAUUGCCUCAUUCUAGAAUCGCAAAUAAAAGCCAGUUUUAUCUUUAAACAAGAUUUAUUGCAACUUUGCCUUUUGGAAAAACUCAUUAUCCGUGUUUAAAUAUGUACUUCGGGGUCAGCGCUGUGGCACAGAAGGUUAAUCCUCUGCCUGCAGUGCCAGGAUCCCAUAUAGGGGCCAGUUCCAGGCCUGGCUGCUCUACUUCCUGUCUCCAGCUCUCUGCUAUGGCCUGGGAAAGCAGUAGAAGAUGGCCCAAGUGCUUGGGCCCCUGCACCUGUG